rnacentral:rRNA from 1 species
AGCUCGUGUCGUGUAGAUGUUUGGGUUAAGUUCCCGCAACGAGCGCAACCCUCGACCUUAGUUGCCAGCAUUCAGUUGGGCACUCUAAGGUGACUGCCGGCUAAAAGUCGGAGGAAGUGGGGAUGACGUCAAAUCAUCAUGCCCCUUAUGACCUGGGCUACACACGUGCUACAAUGGGCGGUACAAAGGGUCGCGAACCCGCGAGGGGGAGCCAACCCCAAAAAGACCGCUCUCAGUUCGGAUUGCAGGCUGCAACUCGCCUGCAUGAAGCCGGAGUUGCUAGUAACCGCAGGUCAGCAAUACUGCGGUGAAUACGUUCCCGGGUCUU